ACCUCUGCGUGUGUGUGGUGUGUGUGAGGUGUGUGUGAGGUGUGUGUGUGCACCUCUGCGUGUGUGAGGUCAGAGGACAACACACGCGUCAGUCACCAUCCCCUUCCACCACCAGCUGUCAGGCCUGGCAGCAAAGACCCUUUCCUGGCCACGCCUUCUCGC